rnacentral:rRNA from 1 species
UGGGGAAUAUUGGACAAUGGGGGAAACCCUGAUCCAGCAAUGCCGCGUGAGUGAAGAAGGCCUUAGGGUUGUAAAGCUCUUUCAAUAGGGAAGAUGAUGACGGUACCUAUAGAAGAAGCCCCGGCUAAAUCCGUGCCAGCAGCCGCGGUAAGACGGAUGGGGCUAGCGUUGUUCGGAAUUACUGGGCGUAAAGGGCGCGUAGGCGGUCAAUUAAGUUAGGCGUGAAAGCCCUGGGCUCAACCCAGGAACUGCGUUUAAUACUGGUUGACUAGAGUAUGGUAGAGGAAAGCGGAAUUCCUAGUGUAGAGGUGAAAUUCGUAGAUAUUAGGAAGAACACCAGAGGCGAAGGCGGCUUUCUGGGCCAUUACUGACGCUGAGGCGCGAAAGCGUGGGGAGCAAA